rnacentral:rRNA from 1 species
CCUACGGGAGGCUGCAGUGGGGAAUAUUGCACAAUGGGGGAAACCCUGAUGCAGCGACGCCGCGUGAGUGAAGAAGUAAUUCGGUAUGUAAAGCUCUAUCAGCAGGGAAGAAAAUGACGGUACCUGAGUAAGAAGCCCCGGCUAACUACGUGCAAGCAGCCGCGGUAAUACGUAGGGAGCAAGCGUUAUCCGGAUUUACUGGGUGUAAAGGGAGCGUAGACGGCAGCGCAAGUCUGGAGUGAAAGGCGGGGGCUCAACCCCCGGACUGCUCUUGAAACUGUACGGCUGGAGUGCAGGAGAGGUAAGUGGAAUGCCUAGUGUAGCGGUGAAAUGCGUAGAUAUUAGGAGGAACACCAGUGGCGAAGGCGGCUUACUGAACUGUAACUGACGUUGAGGCUCGAAAGCGUGGGGAGCAAACAGGAUUAGAUACCCGUGUAGUC